UAUAUUAUCGUUAAGAAAUCUAUUUUCUAAAGUCACAAUUUGAUUUCUAUGACGUCGACCUUUGAUGCAUGCUAGAAUGAAAGAAGCGAGUAUUAGAGUCUCCUUGAAACCAUUUCGUUUUGGAUUUUUGGUUAAGAAUGCUUUGUAGUGUAGUUGCUCCCAAAAAUUCUUAACCAACUUAUUAGGAUAUAUUAGUUGUAUUUGAAGCAAGAUUCCCGUUCACAAGCAACUCCUCUACCUCAUUCAACUCCUUCACGGUCUUAUCAAUUUUAAGAUUCAAAAUACCGAAAACCUCCAAAUUCCAAACCUUCAAUAAGUAUGGUGUCUAGUGCAUGUACCAUUCAUUAAGCUAUAUUGGAGUCUAGAGUAAAGGUUCACUUUGAUGGAAGUCCAUAGGUUGAGAUAGGAAAUCAAUGACAUGGUAUCUUUGUGAUUGUAAUCAUGUUGAUUAUAAUAAAAGAAGUCCUUUGAAA